rnacentral:rRNA from 1 species
UACGUAGGUGGCAAGCGUUGUCCGGAAUUAUUGGGCGUAAAGCGCGCGCAGGUGGUUUCUUAAGUCUGAUGUGAAAGCCCACGGCUCAACCGUGGAGGGUCAUUGGAAACUGGGGAACUUGAGUGCAGGAGAGAAGAGUGGAAUUCCACGUGUAGCGGUGAAAUGCGUAGAGAUGUGGAGGAACACCAGUGGCGAAGGCGACUCCUUGGCCUGUAACCGACACUGAGGCGCGAAAGCGUGGGGAGCAAACAGG